CAUCUGUAAGUUAUAAACAUAUUAAAUUCUCAUUGAUUUUACUACAAAUUCAGUUUGUGCAUUUUAGAGGUGAAUUUAUGUCAGAAUCCCAUAUGCUCACCCACAAUAUCACUGUGGGUUUUUUUUCUCUUAUUAAAAAGGAAAAGGAAGGUGAAACAGCUGCCUUUAUCAUGAUGUGCUUCAGCCAACAUUGCCUUAAUAAGCCUUUGUAAAGAGACAGCCAAGGCUCACCAGUUUGAAGUCUAGGUUGCACAGGGAACUUCAGUUUUGAUCGCAGUUGUGCACUUUACAGUUCUCUAUUUGUUUUUACCCAUGUCUUCUGGAAAUCAGUAACUUGAGUCCUACUAAAAAUAUUUUGUGGAUAUCUCUGAUGUCUUUUAUUAUGUGAGGUAGCUUUAAAAAAUGAAAUAUUAACAAUUACAUCCAUUUGAAACCUUAGUUUAUAGAUGUUGGAUUUCUGCUACAAUGAUUUGGUGGAAUUUUAAAAUUUGGAUACAAACUAUAAGUAUUUGACAAGAUUUUUUUUGAAGGUAUGGGAGCAAAAAAAGAUUUUAUGUCAUUUGGGGAAGCUAUUUAAUUAAACUGAAUGUACUUUGCAAGGAUCAGUUGUGACCAGACAGCCUCAUUCAUAUUGGUCAUGUUGGAAAAACCUGAGUAGCUCAGACUAUUCAAAAGUGUAUUUCAUACAGAUACAGGGCCAUGGCUCUGCACACCAGUGUCCUACUGCACAUACAGUGGUUAUAACAGGAUGAAGGAGUAAAUCUCCAGAAACCCUCAGCAUUCUGACACCUUGUUCUGUCCUUUAACCACUUCAAGACAGUGCAUGUGUAUUUUAAUACAUAGUGUUUGGUAUCUGACACUAUUUCUUCUUUCUCUCUGAAGGAAUUCCUAUUACUGCUUCCUAUUUUGAAAGACCUUAUGUUGCCAAGUGGUAUGGUAGUAAACACAGAGUACAGUGCUGAGAAAAAGGAAACUGUUCUUGAGGGUCCAUUGGGACCAACGAAUCGAUCCUUUUUGUUCUUCUCAGUUAAUGAACAAGUCAUGCCAAUUGACACAGUUUUCUAGUCCUGAGUAUUUUUUUCCUAUGUGUCUGGAAUAGGAAUAUUGUGAUGGAAAAACUAAGUGCCAUAGAAAAAAGUCAGCACAGAUCUAGCAAAAAAGUGGGGUCACUCACUAGCAGAUGGGUGAGAUGGGUGGGAAGCAUGUGUCACUACAGCCACAUGGGUGGGGAUGUUAUUUGGGAGAUGAGAAGGAAUAGGAUUGACAAGGGAGGUUAGAGCAAUAGCUCUUUAAACAGGGAGGAGAAGACUCCAGACAACUUGUCUCCAGUCCCAGCAGACUAGCCUUAAGGCCAAAUUCACUCGUCUUUAGGUGACUGGUUAUCAUAAUCAAGUUCAGCAGACUGUGAAGUUGAGAUCUGUUGUAGUUCUAUAGUAUCAUGUGAGUGUGCUUGUAUUCUGUCAGCACAAGAAGAAGAUAGUCGUUUUCCUAAAACAUCUGCAGUUCAGAGGUCUGAUCCUCUCAGGUGCUAAGAGUCCAGUAGUGCUUCUGGAGCUGAUCUGUCACAGGAUAUAUCUGCAAACAGCAUGGGUGAGGAUGAUGAUAAACACUUUCUUACAAAGGAAAGGAGACAGGGAAGGAGAUGGCAUGGAGUACAAGGAAAAGGUUUACCAUAAAGUAAUGUAGCCUGUGAACCUGACUGUACUGGGCAUGAAAUACCAUUACAUUUAAAGGAAAUCAUAUUUAUCUCAGUGCUCUGCUGAUUUGUCCUCCCGUGUGGUCAUCCUAACCCUUUACAGGCUCACCCUGUCCAAACUGCAGAUCACUGUCCACACUGUUCUGUGUGGCUGUGGGCGGCAGGUCUGUGCCACAGAACACAGAUUCUCCUCCACCAGAGCAGGCGACAUUGUACUGCAUGACAUUGGGGGCACUAAUCACCACUUUCCCAGCUAUCCUACAUCCGUCUUUUAAGACUUUCUUUCUACUGGCCAGGAAAAAAAAAUGAACAGUGUUGGGCAUUGUUGGGCUACUGCUUAAUAAAAGACACAAUUUUUACAAAUACUUUGGCUUCAGAUUCACCUGGGGUCUUACUUCCUUUAAAAUUUAAGGCAGCCUUCUCUUUAACAGGGAUGACAAUUUCUUUCAAGAUUGCCACAGGACUCAAAAACUCACCAGUAGGCAGCAUAGUGGCAGUACAAGUAAGGAAUUGUUUUCAGGUUUCACAGCAGAUUACCACUACAACUCAGAAAUGAGAUCUCGGAGUUUGAUAGAUAAUUCUAUGAGAAUGCAAGCUCAGUGAGGGUCAAGAAGACAAAGCAAAUGUUAGCUGCUAGGAAAGCACUGGAAAAAAACCUACACGUUACUUUCAUAAUAGCUAAAAUACCACGACUCCUCUACAUCUUAAAUUUUGAGAGUCACUCUAUCUUCUUUUUUCAGGAAGGAUACAGCAUAACUGGAAAAAGCCCUGGAAGGGACAACGUGAAUGAUGAAGGCAUGGAGCAGUUACCAUAGGGGACAUAAUCAUGGACCAGCUAGCAUGAAUAAGAUUCUUCAGUCUGGAAAGGAGGUGGCUGAAGGUGCAAAAUGUGCCUCCAUCCUGCUUGGUCUGACGACACACCAUGGAAUUGGACAUGUCUGGACACUGAACUAAGAGGGGCUGCUGUAAAUGCUCCUUUCCAUGAGGAGCAGCAUAUCCCACCUGUGAUUUGGAUUCCUCUGUAGAUGUACCACAACUGGCAUAAAGGAACCUUGGCAGAAUGGGUUUCUACAUUUGGACUCUACUCAAAUCUAUAGCAAAAUUCCAUGGAUUUUUGGGGAAGUCUGAAGACAAUCUAUGAACUAAAGAGAUGGUUUUGUUAAGCAUCCUGCUUUGGCUAUUCCUGCUUCUUUUCCCACACUCUUCCCAUUUCCCUAUUUGUGAAAUGAAUCAAAAGGAAGGGUCAGAAUACUAUUUUCCUGAUAGGAUUUAGAGAGGAGAUGCGGGAGCUCACAAACAAUUGUUUCGAUUAUCACUGACAUGCAACAGCAUGACGAUGCCAAGGGAACAUGGGCAGUAAGGGCUGGUAAGUGUUCUUGAUGGAUUAGUGUAUGGUCAAACUGCAGCAGUGGCAGAAAUUAGCUCUUAUGUUAGGCCAAGUCCAUAUGUCUCAGCAGAAAAGGAGAAAAAGUAGGGGGAGGCAAUGAUUGUCAUCUUCUUUCCUGGAAUCUGACUUAAAAACAAAACUCGCAAUCUCUAUCAAUUAGCAUUGCAAAGAAAAUCUCUGGAAAUGAAGGGUGUAAAGAGGCUGCCUGGCAGAGUGCCUCAAACAAUAACUCCGGGAAGUGUGAACUGCUCUCUCUAUAGCUAGGAGACGUUAACAAAAGCCUGUUCUAUUUGACCCGAGCUAGCAAUGAUGGACAGUCACUAUUUGCAAGCAGUGCAAGUCUGUACAAGCGUCUGCUGACUCCUUCUUAUCUCUUCUGCACUGGCUGUGUCUAUAAGGUGUGUAUUUGUGUGUUGGAGGAGGUGGUUUCCCUGUUCUUUUGAGCUCGGUAUUGCAGACUGCCUACAGGGGCAGCUUUGUGUUGUAGUUAGUCCCAUGAGAUGAUGUUUUCUGCCAUGAAAGCUGGAAAUCCAGAGAGAAAAAUUUAAGCAUUUGUUCUAGCCUUCCCUCUGUCCAGACUGAACGAGUAAUCUCUCAUUGUAUCUUGCAAACACCCUUGGUAUCCUUGAUCCAGAGUAGCAUAUACCCUGUGAACAGUUGUAUUGGAAUUGCAGAGAGAUGGAAAGGUCAAUUCCAUACUUUAUAGUGCCACUUCAAAUUGAGGCUCCCCAAUUCUCUCUUACCCUUUGCCCCUGCGCAUCCCUAUCCCAUGCUGAUGCCUGAAUUAAGCUUGCCAAAAACUAAACUGGCCAAAAAAAAGUGAUCAGCUUUUUUUGAAGGAGCAGCUGCAUGAGCUUUGCUAACCAAGUGUGCACUGGAGAUGGCUUGUGCACAACUGUGUGCAAAGCCCUGUGGGGACUUCAAGGCAGCUAGAGGUGAACCCUGCAUGCUUAGAACAAGAAUCAGUAGCUGAAACUGAAUUUGCUGUUGUGGACACUGUCAAUAAACUAUGCCCCUGAGCUUUA